UUACGGCCAUAUCACGUUGAAACACCGGUUCUUGUCCGAUCACCGGAGUUAAGCAACGUUGAUCCUGGUCAGUACCUUGAUAGGAAUACCAGGUGUUGUAAG